CAGGCCUAACACAUGCAAGUCGAGCGCCCCGCAAGGGGAGCGGCAGACGGGUGAGUAACACGUGGGAAUCUACCUUUUGCUACGGAACAACUCCGGGAAACUGGAGCUAAUACCGUAUGUGCCCUUUGGGGGAAAGAUUUAUCGGCAAGGGAUGAGCCCGCGUCGGAUUAGCUAGUUGGUGGGGUAAAGGCCUACCAAGGCGACGAUCCGUAGCUGGUCUGAGAGGAUGAUCAGCCACACUGGGACUGAGACACGGCCCAGACUCCUACGGGAGGCAGCAGUGGGGAAUAUUGGACAAUGGGGGCAACCCUGAUCCAGCCAUGCCGCGUGAGUGAUGAAGGCCCUAGGGUUGUAAAGCUCUUUCACCGGUGAAGAUAAUGACGGUAACCGGAGAAGAAGCCCCGGCUAACUUCGUGCCAGCAGCCGCGGUAAU
rnacentral:rRNA from 1 species